ensembl:lncRNA
AUGGGCACACACUCAGGGACACACAUGGACACACAGGCUCCUAUGUGCACACACAGGGACACACAGGCUCAUGCACACGGGCACAUUCAGGGACACAGGCUCACAUGGGCACACACAUUCUCUCAGGGACACAGGCUCACACGCACACGGGCACACAGGAACACACAGGCUCACGCACAUGGGCACACAUGCUCAGGGACACACAGGCUCACACACACACGUUCUCUCAGGAACACAGGCUCACACACACGGGCAUACGCUCUCUUGGACACACAGGCUCACACCAGCAUGCACGCUCUCAGGGGCACACAGGCUCACAUGCACACGGGCACACAGGGAGACACACAGGCUCACGCACACGGGCACACAUGCUCAGGGACACACAGGCUCACACACGGGCCCACACACACAGGGACACAGGCUCACAUGCACACAGGCACACAGGCUCACACACACGGGCACACACGCUCUCUCAGUGACACAGGCUCACACACGGGCAUCCACACUCAGGGACACACAGGCUCACACACACGGGCACACUCAGGGACACACAGCCUCACAAGCUCUCUCAGGGACACACAGGUUCACACACACAGAGGCACACACACUCAGGAACACACAGGCUCUCACGGGCACACACACUCUCAGGGACACACAGGUUCUCACGGGCACACACACUCUCAGGGACACACAGGUUCACACACACGCACACACUCAGGAACACACAGGCUCUCACGGGCACACACACUCAGGAACACACCUCUCAGGGAACACCUACACACAGGGACACACAGGGCACACACACUCUCAGGGACACACAGGUUCUCACGGGCACACACACUCUCAGGGACACACAGGUUCACACACACAGAGGCACACACACUCAGGAACACACAGGCUCUCACGGGCACACACACUCUCAGGGACACACAGGUUCACACACACAGAGGCACACACACUCAGGAACACACAGGCUCUCACGGGCACACACACUCAGGAACACACAGGCUCUCACGGGCACACACACUCUCAGGGACACACAGGUUCACACACACAGAGGCACACACACUCAGGGACACACAGGCUGUCACGGGCACACACACUCUCAGGGACACACAGGCUCACGCACACGGGCACACACGCCCUCUCUCAGGGACACACAGGCUCACGCACACGGGCACACACGCCCUCUCUCUGGGACACAGGCCCACACACAUGCUGCGUGCAGACCCUGGAGUGGGGAUAGGGGACCCGCGCUUCUUGGAGCGAGAGGCCUCUGGCACCCUGGUCUAUGGCGAGCGUCGCCAGCCCAGGCAGAUGCUGUUUCCGCGCUUCCUCUCCCAGCAGACCCCGUCUGGAGCUGGCACAGAGCAUCCUCUGUUCCAGAUUCGGCGUGGGACGUUGGAAGCAAGCGCCUGUCGCCCACUCAUGACCGGAACUUUCCGGCAGUGCGAGGUGGGGGCGGGAAGCCCUUGUGACGUGUCUGGGGCCUGGGCCUGUCCUCCUCCCUGUGUCCACUGUGGACCAGGCUGGGCUGUGGCCUUCCCUGCUACGGAGACCACCACAAGAGACCCUGGGGGCCCCACGUCUGGAGAACGAGGAUGA